rnacentral:lncRNA from 1 species
AUAUAUGUCCAUUACAUACAUAUAUUGGAGAAGUUUCCCUAUAUUUAGUCCAUUCAUUGUUCGUCCUGGAGAGGUAAUCGGCGGGAGGGAGGUGUGAUGAAUUAUACUUUGAACCUCGAGACAUCUCCUUCGUCGCUUCGUUAAAAACCUACCUGGGAAAUCCCAAUUGGGACAAAGCCUUGGUGAGGAAAAGAGAGUACAAUUUUGGGUGGCGUCCUUUUUUGAGAAGUGGAAGCAUUUGAGCUGAGCGACAUUCCAAUAGUUUGGUAGUGCUUUUCCUUCCAUUGUCUCUAGUUGGAAUUCUCCCUUGCUCGCUCGCCCAAGCAAGUGCAUGCAUUCCUGUCUAAAUCAGCAACAUAGGAUAAACCCAAAUGAAAUUUCCCGUAUCUCGAUCUGACGGGUCAGCGACAAAAGCGGCAUUUGAGUGUUACUCGCACAACCUGGUUUUAAAUUUGACGGCCGUGUUCGGUUCCAUCUGUAAUAGCAUCUGAGCUUCAUGCGGGUUGAGCCACCUUCCUUGUUGAAGUGUUGAAAUCGAGUUCAGGUCUGAUCUUGUUUGAUUUGUAUCUACAACAAGGGACAUGGGAUAACAUGUGUGCUCAUCCCAUUAGGACCGCUUGGUAAGCUCCUGUUCUUUCAUAAAGAAUAGGAAUACGGGCUAAUACAAGUAGGCAAGAUGCGUCGAAUGGGGGUGUGGCAAUUCCAGAUGACUAUGAUCCUGCUUCGAACGUAUGUGUGUUGUGCCAACCCUAUCGCUAUUGGAUAGAGUGGGUUUUGCAGAGAUACUGGUUGUAACUUUGCUCUUAUGCAACAACUUGGCCUGGGUUAGAUUUGUCAUCUCGAAGGUUUAUUUAUCGCUCAUUCAAGUGGGUGGCGGCGUUUUGCCGGUUCUAGAUCUGAAGGAAACUAAAAAAUUUGGCUAAGAAGCUCCCCAGAGACGGUACCAAAUUAUUUGAACAAACAAGUAUAAAACCCAUCUUGUCGAACUAAUUUUUAAAAUUGAAGAAGGUAAAUCUUAGUGAAACAUAAUUAAUCCCAAAUCUAGAUAUGCAGCAUAGAGAAUAAAGGAAGAAGAAGAGUAAUCGCAGAUAAUGUUUACAUUAAUCAUAUAUGAUAAGCUUACAUUUGUGAUCGAUUUGUCUCAUGAACAUGAAGUAAACAGAAAAGAAGUGAAAGAACCGUUCUUCCUUAAACAUUCUCUUGAUUCUCC